rnacentral:rRNA from 1 species
AACAACGGAUCUCUUGGCUCUCGCAUCGAUGAAGAACGCAGCGAAAUGCGAUAAGUAAUGUGAAUUGCAGAAUUCAGUGAAUCAUCGAAUCUUUGAACGCACCUUGCACCCUUUGGUAUUCCGAAGGGUACGCCCGUUUGAGUGUCAUUGUACUCUCAAUCCCAUGACUUUAUGUUGUGUGAUUGGACUUGGAUCCUGUCACAGUUGUGACUGAUCCGAAAUGCAUCAGCGUGUGUCCGUCGUGACGACAAACCGAUUGUUAAACUUCAUCGGGCUCGCUCUGUCGAGGUUGUCUGGCGAAAGCACAUGCUAAACCCCCUACAUUUUGACAAUUUGACCUCAAAUCGGGUGGGAUCACCCGCUGAACUUAAGCAUAUCAAUAAGCGGAGGAAAAGAAACU